GCAACAGAGUUCAAACUUUUUCGUUCAGUACCUAUUCACUGUUUUUGUGUUGUAUAUUUAUCUUCACUCAAAUUCUUAGAUUUUAAAAUUAAGUAUGUGAUAGCGAUUCAACUGAAUAACUAUCUACAAGUUUUGUGAUUACUUGAUGACAACUCCUGACUUGUUUCACACUUUUUACUGACACGUUUGUAUGUAACUAACGUUACUUGACAAAAAUGAAAUAUUUCAGUUUUAAAAGUAGGCUUACUCUAAAAAUGUUUUUAUUGCUGUUGAAUUUAUAAAGUGAAAAACCAUCCCGUUUUAUCUUUUUUUUCAACAAUUUAAUAAUCAGCAUGCCUCGUCAAUACGUUUUAAUUGUAAGCGAUGAGAAGCGUAUUUGCGUUUCCACAAUGCGACACUACAUGUGGGAGAGCUAGGCGACUAGCAGUGCUACGCUCUACUGCCGGAGGGGGCCUCAGUCAACGUCAACGCCAACCACUUUUGGAUGGGUCGCGACACCUGCACUGACACACCCUGUCUGGCCAAUGGUCUGUCACACUUCCAUGUCAAGCCCACAAAGCUUGAAGACUCUUCUUCCCACUCCUUCAGGCUGCUUGUGCGCAUCACCUAUCCCCUUCUCACUUCGAGAGAGAUCGAACAAUGAGUGUGAUCUAGCAAUGUCACACGAGACGCAUAUCGUCCGAGAUUUGGAGUGUCGUACAACUCUACGGAAGGAAUGGCCGUGGAGUUGAAGAACAUGAUGCCGAGUGACGUGCGCAUAAUGUGGGCGAGGCCCGACGGACACCAGAUGCAGUACGGCGUGGUGAGUGCCAAGCAAGCAGACAGUGGAAGUGCACACACCGGUCGACUGGCAGAGGAGACACUGAAUGGCCUUCGGUUGCUGAUCGACGGCAGGCGACACUAUGUGGCGGUCACACCCGGCCACUCGGUUGCUUCGCUUGAAAUCAGGGCGCCACUCCACUCGCUGGCCGAACUCGUUCGCGGGGCGCUUCCGCCCAACUCGACCUGCCAGCUACAUUGCUGCGUGACUUAGAUCAAGGGAUAGCUUUGAUGGGGACGCCUACGUCAAUGAGGUCCGAGGACAGCAGGAGCGACGGGCGAUCGCCUUCCAAAGGCUCCGGGAGCGCUGGCGACAU